rnacentral:tRNA from 1 species
GUCCAGGGAUGGGAAACGAACCCACAAUUAUUCGCUUACCGGGCAGAUGCCAUGUCCACUAGGCUACCCUGGA